rnacentral:tRNA from 1 species
GCGCGAGUGGCUCAGGGGUGGAGCGUCGCCUUGCCAAGGCGAAGGUCGCGGGUUCGAAUCCCGUCUCGCGCU